AAUAGACGUGGCCGGGAUCCCUGUCUUAUGUGUUGGGUUGGUUUUCCUUGUGAACAAGAAGUUUUUCCAUCACUGUUGUGGUGGCUCCCUGAAUCCACACUCGCCUGCUGUCUGCUCCCUUCUUCUUAGUGCUCCCUGUGUGCAGAGAUUUAGAGACAUGUCCGUGUUUGUCAGGGUGUCUACGUUGGCCCUCAGUUGCAAGCCUUGUGGCAAGCCCAUCCCCGCAUGCCAUAGCCCCUGCCGGGGGUCUGGGCAGGGCGCAGGGAGAGCAAGUGUUUGACUGGGUGGGAAUUGGAGUCCAGAGACUGACAUGGAGCCCAGCUUUGAGACCUGCAGGCCCAAAUCUCAGAUUUGUGGGUGCUAACUGGGGCUCCAGCACUCUCACGCCACCUUCAGUGCUGGAGUGUCCAAGUGCCCAUCGGUUGGAUGUACGUUUUUGCACACGGCUCUUUUCCCAUCUUUCUGGCCUCUUGCACCCAAGGAGGUGGGUGGGAGGGAGCAGAGGGGCCACAUCUGGCAUCUCUAAGUGUCUGGGCUUGUCUGAAAUUGGCAUAGGGCAGGACACCCCUCCCUCAGUGCAGUGCCGAGCUAGGUUCACUGUGGCAUCUGGAAUCAGUGUUAGUCUGUAUCCGCCAAAAGAAAAAGAGUACUAGUGGCACCUUAGAUAAUAGUUUCUAAGGUGCCACAAGUCCGCCUUCUUUUCCUUUUGUAGAUCUGGAAUGAAUCCCUCCAUGGUGAAGCUGAGCUCUUGGGCCAGCUCCACCGUCUGGCCAUGUGACCGCGGUUGAGUGGGCAGGAGGCAGCAGUCCUAUGUCCACAUAGUAACUAACCCAGCGUGCCAGGGCAUGUUUCUGCCUGCUCCAGAGCCCUCAUGGGAGCAGGUCUGUGUCCUGGAGCCGCAGCAGGGGCCAGUGCUGACUCUUAGAGAGCUAGGUACUUCUAGCAGGACAAAAGCUAGAGAGAGGGGCCAGGUUACUUGGGGGAAGGGGGAGCUGGCAGCAGGGGCUGUAGGGUUUGUGGUAAGCUGGGAGGGGUCGUGGGGUCACGGGAGUAGGUUGAGCAGCUGGGAGAGGCAUAGAAAGGAGGUGCUUGCAAAUGUGUGGAUGCUGACCACCACCCCUGCAAUUAACUUGAUGCACGGUUGAUGGAUCUUCUCUGUCUCCUUUCUCCUGUCCCUUCUGAUUUGUCACCCUAACCUAGUAGUCGUUCCCUCUGCUAAUCGCUCCUGCCCGAUGGGGCUAGUCACACCGCUGUCCUCUAGCUAGGCCACAGUUGUCCAUGACAUACGGCCAGGUAAGAGACCCACUGUUUGCCUGGAGGAGUUUACAGUGUCCUCGGCAUUAGGCCAGAGCAGUGCACGCAAUAGACUGGGGGGAUGUGGUGAUGAGCUCUCACAGUUAUAUAUGGCUAGUGGCAUGUGCUUCCAGGAGGUGGGGGUGGAGUUGCUAAGUCCCUGUCUCUCUGAGGGUUUUGUAAGAGGACUGUUUUUGAGGGGGGGGAGGGGGAAUCUAUGGGGAGCAGGGUAAAGGUGUCAAGCUCUGGGAUGUGUAUCUGCAUUGGGUAACCCAGGAAGUGCAGUGAGAACGUCAUUGAGGGGUCAGGAUGGAUUGGCUGGUUACAUUAGAACAAACGUAAGGGAAUUUUAUACGCUGGUGCAUUGCAACCCUCCAACAGCUGUAAGUGGGAGAGACUUUGCCCUGGUGGGGUGGCGGGGUGCGGGGGGACCUAUGAAUCGUCUUGUGCACAAGAGAUUGCUAGUGUUCAACUAUAUUGCUCUGGCCCCUUGAGAAGGGUUCUCAGCUGCCUCCUUGCUGUAGCUGACAGUGAUUCUGUGCAGUACCCACAAUGGACUCUGGCCCUUAAACCUCCUUGAGAGCGCCUGGUCCCGCAUCUCUAGCCUGCCCCCCCCCCCCCCGCCCCGUGCCCCCCGUUGCAGGCUGACCUAGCUCCCUCCCACAUGGCCAUGAAUGCUGCUGCACCCCCAGCUGCGUGCUUGUUAAUCAAUGCUUGUAAAGUGCUUUAAAUAUGUAAAGCCCAAUGUCAAUGCUCAGUGAGGGGGUUACUGUCUCUGGGUUCUCUCCUCUCCCCAGUAGUUCUGCGCCCUCUUUUCCUGUAUCUGCCUCUUGAACUCUGAUCCCCUACGUACUCGUUCCAAGCCAUGGCCUAGUGACAGCUUGUUGGCCCUCGAUUAUUGCACAGCUGGUUCCAGCUCUUCUGCGCAGAGGGUUGUUAAACAAGAGCCAGUGAAAGCCUCAUAGUCCUUGUUGCUUGUAUUGUGGAGGCACUGUGCCAGGAUCAGGGCCUCUUGUACUGGGUGCGGCAGAGACACCAGGUAAAGGGGACACUGGCUUCACGUCCUUUUAAACUUUGAUUUUUCACUCAAUAGUUUCUUGCACCUCCCAUGUUUUAGGGCAGGUGAAACAAAUGGGAGUUAAAGGUUGGCCAGUUUGACUUGAAUUCCUUUCGGCAACUUUCUCCUCCCCUGAAAUGCUGGUUUGUAAUUUCCUACAAUGCUAUGCCUGUUACAGCAACAACAAAUGAGGCUGGACUAGGGCUGAUCUAUUUCCCCAUCUUUCUGUAGUGGUGGAAAUCGAGCCAGAUUGGAUAAAGCUGUGCAAUAGCAUGGCCUGUAGUUGCAUGGGAAAGUACAGUGGAGAAUUUGUGUUAGAAUGUAGGAUUGAGAUUUGUACCAGCUACAUGAUAAUAAAGAAGUGACAAUCUAGUCUUCUGCCUUUCGUUAUUUUGCCAACCCACUUGGUCAAACAGCAGAGAGUAUUCUUGGCUCUUUCAUUUGCGGUUCUGGGUUGAAAUUUCAGACCUCAGAGGAACACGUGGUCACAGACUACAGCACUGUGCCGAUGCCAGGGGUGUUUACAGGGCCCUCCCUUUAGGACUUGUGUCUCUGCCUUGUUUCAGACUGUUCAAUCGUCGUAGAAAUGUUUUUAAAGAUUGUGAAAUGUUAGUUUGCUUGUAAACAUUCUUGCCUUGGUCUAAUGGGGAGAACCAGAAGAUGACUGGUCUCAGUGUAAAAUCUAACCAGCACCCAGGCUGAAAUGAAUGUGAUUUGAAGUAUGAUAAUCCAUUCUGAUAACUGAGGGGCUUCUCAGUAAGGAUCGGGCACAACCUUUUUGUCUCGCUGUAGCCCGUAGGGGCUGUGGGUGGUUCUUACAGAACUUGCUACUCGGCAAACAUUGCCGUGGUGGCGGUCUACCAGGAUGCGAAAACGUAACUUGUCCCGGUGGUUAGAGCAUGGCACUGGUAGGCAGCAGGCCUGUAAUCUGUGUCUUACCACAUGCACCUGUGUUCAUUUGUGCGCCCCCCCUGCCUCAGUUUCCCUACUUCUGUAAAGUGCUUUGAGAUCAGUAAAUAAAGCAUAGACAAAGUGCUAGUCCUAAAAAGAUGACUCUCAGCACAGUGAGGGGUAUACGAAGAGCCUGUGGCUGCCGUCUUUCGAUAACUCAGGGUGAAGACCAACCUGCUCAAACUCCUGGCGUUCGCUGAUGGUGAACUUGGCUCCCUGCUGCUGCCGCUGUUAAAGGCAGAGGAGCUGGCAACUGCUGUGGGCAUCUGUUUUUGGAAACCAGAUAUUUAUCUAUACCAGUUGGAUGCAUGGUCUGAGCACCCCUCCUAUGGUACAGCAGAACUCAAACCCUUCACUGAGCAGCAAGAGAGCAAGUAGGGUGGGAAGGUGGCAGGCAGUGGGUUUGCAGGUGGAGAAUGCUGCCCUGAGUGUCUCUGUAGAGCAGCAAAGUCAAACCCAACACCAGACUGGGUGGAGACGAGCGAGACAUCCCUCCAGCCCCAAAACAGAAAAGGAAACAGCACCCACCACUUCUACAAAGCCGCUGCGCCAUAGCCUCCUGCCUGCUCUUGGGCAUGCUGCUAGAACUGUGCAUUCAGUGACUGGAGAAUUGCUGUUCCCAUUCCCAGCAGGGUACAGAGGAGGAAAUGGUAUUUGCCUCCACUGCGUCAGCCCUUCUCUUUACAGACCUGGUGCUUCUGAUGGUAUUUCCAACUGAGGUGCUUGCUCUGGUAUUUUCGUGAAGCCUGGCCUGCCCCGCCCUUGCUGGCAAGAACAGAGUUCCUGGGGGGAGCUGUGUGUUAUGUUAGUACAGCCUUAGCUAGGACCCCCUUUUCUAACGAGGGAUCAGCUUUCUUCUGGUCAGUGCUCUCCCUUCUUUAUGGAGGGCAGCAAUCCCGCACUGCCUCUGGAAUCCCCUUAGUCUGACUUCUUGUGGACCGUCUCCCAUUCUCCAUCCACAGAAUGAGCAUUCCUUAGGUGGGCGUCUACCCUAGGGCUCUUUUGACCCACAGGGGCAUCCCACAGACUUUUGCCCUGUGUCUGUCCCAUCCUUCGUAGAGCACGCUGUGGCCUUUUCCCCAACCAGCACCUCACAGUCUGAUGGUCUCUGCUCCCUGUUAGCUAUUAAGUCCUCCGGCAUCCACCUCCUCUCGGGCCCCCAACUGGGGGUUUGCUCCGUCUUUUCCUUUGGUUUGCCUUGUAUAGGCCCCCUUUGCUCCUUCACCCCUUUCUCCAGCAUUUCCCACCUGGGCUGCACGUUCUGGGUUCGUUGGUAUUUGUCUAGGGUUUUUUCUCUGCCCUGGCAUUUCCAAUCUGGGCCUCACGUUUUUGGCUUGUGGGUCUGAGUCCUGUACUGACCCCUCUGUGUCUUACCAUCCAUUGAGGUUCCCUCCAGUGCGCGGCUCUUCAUAUCCUUAAAGGGAAUGGGUUCCAAUCAGUCCCCACAACCCCGGGAUGGGGGGCCUCUACCUCCCGCACAACUCUAUUGGGAUGAUGCCGCUGGAAAAGGCUUUCCUCCCCGUGUAUACGCUCCAUUCCUAGAGCACGUACCCGUCCCAAAACCACGGUGAUGUAACCAGCCUGCUCUGCAAGAGUGAGUAACUGGCCUCUGAAGAAACAACCCGAUCUCUGGUUGUCAGCCCACCCUUACCGGAACAGUUUUUACUCCCUUCUGAGAGCUUUCCAUCACCCCAGUCUAGCCACAACGUUCCCCCAGACCACGUUUCAUAUAUGAGCUGUCCCACUUGAUGCCUUUUCCCCUGCGCUGCUAGCAGGUUAUAUCGUGUCUGACCAAGUGGCCUUCCUUUCUUCCUGUCUCACGCCUGCAGGUCAUACUGCUUGUGUUGGACAAGCUGCUUUUCUUUGCAAAUCUUGGAAUGCUUCUUGGCCAAUUUUGACGUUGCCUCCAUUGUCUCUGGUUGGUGUCUCCAGACCCUCGUGGUCUCUGGAAGGCUCUGCGUAAUAUCACAGCAUCCAGGACUGCUUCCACAUCUUGCCUCAGCCAGCAGUUGGCCCAGUCAGUCCCAAUCUGUGCAAAUGCUCUGGGCCUUACCCCAGAUGUCCACCUGGCUGCCCUAUAUUUUUGCCAGUAUCUUUUGGCCGACACAAACCUACAUGGUUCAAUAUAGCAGCAUUUAACACCUCAGAGUUCUUGGCCUGCUCUUUGCUCAAUGCCAGGUAAGCACUUGGGCUUCUCCCGACAGGUAAGGGCUAACGAUAUGCCCACAAACCUUUACCCCAGCUCACGCCAGCAGCAGUUCUUUUGAAAGUCAGUAGAAAGGCACUGGGAUCCUCCCCGGGCCCAGCCCCCCUCCCCAGUGCAGGACUUGUCAGAUUCUGUAAUACCUGCUGUUGUACGUGGGUCUGUUCCUUCAGGAACUCCGGAAGUAAGUGCCUGCUGUUUCUUUGCCUGCCAUCCCACUGGGGCUUGGUGCUCUGCCUGCCUUUUCUUUCCAGGUUUAGCCUCUCCUCACACAGGCUGCCUCUCAAGCUUUCCUGGCUCUGUCUGGCAGAUGGAUCCCGGCCAAGCCCCCACGUGUGAAGCGGCUCUCCCUUCUGCUCCUGCCAACCUGCUCCUCCUCUAGCCAAACCCAGUCCCCUGUGUGCUCGAAGCGGUUGGUGGGCGGCUCCCAAAGGGCUCUCUUUACAGCUGCUAGCAGCGCCCAUCCCAAGGCAGAAUUUAAAAUACAGUUGCAAUGUUGUACAUAGGAACCAAGAUCCAUUGUUCUGUGUAUAGAAUUUAAACAAACAGUUAAUCUAUGUUUCAGAGCAAAACUGCCCUUGGAAAAUUAGGUUCUACAGAAUGUCCUUACACAUUCAAUAGAUUUUAGUCUAUGUAGAAAAUGUCUCCCAAUUAACUGUAGCUGGGAUUUAAAAAAAACCCCAGCUCUUCUCCUGUACUGUAAUGCUCUCAGGUCACCCACGCAUCUUUUCUUUCUGAUGAAGAACAUGUUACGUUCGGCAUCUCAUUCACCGUGUAGCCAGCUGCGGGUCGAGAGAAAGGAAAGGGUUGCGAGAGUCCAACUCCUUACUCCGGAAGAGCAGCUGUGUCUGCGGGGAGAGCCGUGCACAGCACGGAUAUGGGGGCCAGAACAGCUCCGGACUUCACACGCUGCACCUCCUCCUCUAGCGUCAAAUGAGAACUACAGCAGAACCUCAGAAGUGGAAGCUGUCGGUAACACUGACCAAGACGUUAUGGACUUCAGCCUCUUCAGCAAGGCUUCUGACCCUUGGGAGCACCAUGGCUCGGGGCUUUAGACCUGGGGGCAGCGCUGGGGCUCCAGCCCUGUGUGGGGCUCCCCACAGCUCCACUCCUGGUUUCAGCUGCGGGGGGCGGGAAGCUCUGGGGUUUGCGGCUUUGGCUAUGGGGGGAGUGCUGGGGCUGAAACUGGCGCACCCCAAGUCUAGGCCCCUCCUGGGGGGCUGAAGCCCUGCCCCCCGCAGUUGAAGCCCUGAGUACCAGGGCUAAAGCCUCAAGGCAGUGAAGUAUUUGCUCUGUGUGUGUCUUUGAGGUUCUCCUGGACCCAGUUUGGAGCCGUUCCUACAUGGAAUCCUCUUGAAGUCAUAGGAUGCUGCCCUGGCACAUGCCCGUCCAGGACUGGGACCAUAGCCAGGCUGCACAGCCUCCUACAUAUCUCGCAGCCUCCUUGCACCUCACUGCACUGCCACUGGUUUCUUCCUCAGUGAGUAUGCCCAGCUGCCUCGGAGCCACUGGGGCACUGCCUCUGCCUGCAGACAGCCGACGUGCCUGCUCCCUGCCCUGCUGCGGGCUCACAGCUACUACCGAGAAGCAAGACAAAAGUAAAGAGUCUCUAGAGCCUCCCAUCUUGGUGUGUGUGGGCAUGCGUGGCUCAGCGCUGGCGGCAGGAGCGGGAUCGGCGGCAGGAGCAGAAGCGGCAGGAGCAGAAGCGGAGUUUGCCGAGACAGGCAUGCUACCAAAAGAAUCGUGGAACAAAAAUGGAGGAGACAGUAGCAGCAAAUUUAGGUGAGCGCUCACAUUGCAGAUGUGGCCAAACACAGCAGGGCUGCUUGAAGAUGAAUCCCGAGGAAGGCCGUGUGCGCGCUCUACGGGAUGACAGUGCCGUACUGGGACCUCAGGGGCUGCAGUAGCCACGCUGCAGCCUCGCUCCUGCAUGGGUGACGGGGGCGCUCUUAGCCAGCGAAAGGAUACUUACUCUUGUUAGCUCUGUGAGGGAUGGGCACCGCCACGUUCUUGCCUCUGUCGCUGUCCUGCGGCUUGGGCGGGGAGGCGGUGAACCUGCAGAUGCCUGGCUCGGACGGGGUGCUCAUGGAGGUCAUGCUGUCUGCGUUCUCAUUGGUCCCUGUGGUCAUUUGGUCGGAAGAGCUAUCUGAGAUGAAGCACUCUGUGAUCUCGAACUUGGCAUGCUGCAAUUGCUCCUCGAGCUUGGCGUGCUCAUAGGCCCGUGCCAGCUCCUCGUAGGUGGAUGAGGCGCUCUCCGUAGACACCAUGCUGUUCCGCCCUUUGUCUGAAAACAAGUACGAACGAAGAGGCGUUCUUACACCUGGAAAAGACUAUAAAAGGCCGAUGCCUCAUCUCCACCUUGUCUUCGAUCCUGCUUCUUACCGCUGGAGGGACUUUGCUACAAAUGGAAGCUCUACACAAAGGACGGAUGACCCAUCCCAGCUGUGGAUAGACUCCAGAGACUUGAUUUGAACUUGCAGUUUAUUCUAUCACAGCUACAAGCCUGAAGCAAGAACUUUGCCAUUACUGUAUGUAAUUGAUUCCAUUUAACCAGUUGUAGCUCUCAUCAAUAUCUUUUCCCUUUUCUAAAUAGAUCUUUAGAUUCCAAAGGAUCGGCAACAGCGUGGUUUGUGGGCGAGAUCCGAUUUGUAUAUUGACCUGGGUCUGGGGCUUGGUCCUUUGGGAUCGAGAGAACCUCUUUUUGUUUACUGGGGUCUUAGUUUUCAUAACCAUCUGUCCCCAUAAUGAGUGGCACUGGUGGCGAUACUGGGAAACUGGAGCGCCUAAGGAAAUUGCUUGCGUGACCUGGGUUUUACCCCACUGGCUAACCACAAGUCUUGUCUGGUUGGUUGGUUUGGUUUGCCUUAGAGGUGGCAAAACCCCAGCCUUUGGCUCUAACUGACUUGCUUGAAGCAAUUUGUUCUGAAUUGGCACUCUCAGUUGGGUCCUGCCAGAACCAGCAUUGGUGCACUAUGCGACGGGGCUCUGUCUAGAAGAUACCAUCAGGGAUGCUUAGUUUUGCGCCUCCAGAGAUAAUCUGCUUGUGCACAAAGAAAUAGAGGGGAGAAAAAAAUGACAGACCUCAACUCUAUCAUCCCUCUGCAAAUUGGUGUACACAGAGUCAAUCCCUAACCUCUCUCAGAAAGUUCAAUUAACAGCAGAUUGUUGAGGGUGGAAUAGAUCUGGACAAAGAGAAGGGAGGGAUGGGCAGCAGAAGCAACAGUUACGCUAUUCGGGCAGCAUAGUCUGGAAGUGUUGAGGUCUUUCUGAGUGUAGUCUUCACUGAUUUGAGAUCUACUGUACCAUCCUCUCGCUAGAAGGGAAAACCUGCAAUGCCGGGAGACUGUAAGAGAGAUUCAGUUUGGGGUUAUUGUAAUGAAGUUCCUCUACCUGUGGACAAGACAGGCGUGUAUGUGAAAUGCAAGGCCUGCUUGCCUCACUGAAACAACAUCACAAGAAGAGGGCCUCAUCCUCCCUGAUUGAACUAGCCUCAUUAUCCCUAGCCUGAUUCUUGCUUGAAUAGUUAUACCUGCCUGUGGAAAGGUCCACUACACGCAUCCGACGAAGUGGGUAUUGACCCACGGAAGCUCAUGCUCCAAUGAGUCUGUUAGUCUAUAAGGUGCCACCGGACUCUUUGCCGCUCUCCUGAGAAGUGUUUCUUCUGAGGCAGAAGCUGUGUUGAAGAUGAUGAAAGGAACAUGCAGGAUCUUCAGGUUGGUCAACUUUUCUCUUUCAUAUUUCUUUUGUAAGGACUGCCUGUCUUCCUUCUGGACUAUUCUUGAAUUCUUGUGUUUGAGCAAACAAUAUAGUUAUGCUAAAGGUGAAAUUGUAAAAAGAAGAUCUGUCUAGUUCAGUGGUUUGUUGCCUAAAAUGAUUGAUAGUACCAGAAAGUAGUACUGAGUGUCAGUGAAUGCAGUGACUAAACACUAAGUGAUAAGCUAUUACCAGCAGGACAGUGGGGUGGGAGGAGGUAUUGUUUCAUGAUCUCUGUGUGUAUAUAAUGUCUGCUGCAGUUUCCACGGUAUGCAUCCGAUGAAGUGAGCUGUAGCUCACGAAAGCUCAUGCUCAAAUAAAUCGGUUAGUCUCUA